ACUCAGUGAAAUUGAACUCGCUGUGAAGAUGCAGUGUACCCGCGGCAAGACGGAAAGACCCCGUGAACCUUUACUAUAGCUUGACACUGAACAUUGAGCCUUGAUGUGUAGGAUAGGUGGGAGGCUUGGAAGUGUGGACGCCAGUCUGCAUGGAGCCGACCUUGAAAUACCACCCUUUAAUGUUUGAUGUUCUAACGUUGACCCGUGAUCCGGGUUGCGGACAGUGUCUGGUGGGUAGUUUGACUGGGGCGGUCUCCUCCUAAAGAGUAACGGAGGAGCACGAAGGUUGGCUAAUCCUGGUCGGACAUCAGGAGGUUAGUGCAAUGGCAUAAGCCAGCUUGACUGCGAGCGUGACGGCGCGAGCAAGAUGAGUUCUCCCUGACUCCUUGAGAGUCCUGAAGGAACGUUGAAGACGACGACGUUGAUAGGCCGGGUGUGUAAGCGCAGCGAUGCGUUGAGCUAACCGGUACUAAUGAACCGUGAGGCUUAACCUU
rnacentral:rRNA from 1 species